ACUUCCACUGUUGACCAAACACCCUCCUUCAUAACCAACGUCACACGCACAAAGACCAACUUAACUCGUGAUGACUACCAUUCUACAUCGCAAGCCGGACUUCAAGGUGGUGCGGACUUAACUGGUGUGACCAUCGUUGUGGUUUCGGUGCUUGUUGCAUUGGCAAUCAGUCUCGCCCUUGUCAUUUAUCGACGGAGCAGUGCUUUGCAACAAGAAACAGUCAGAGAGGU